rnacentral:rRNA from 1 species
AUGAAGACAAUAAGUUGGAGUAUCAUCUUACCUCAUGUGUUGCUGUCAUGGUAUCAAUCCACUGUGAUGCUAGUGGUAGACAAUGGAUGCCUGUGGAACAACUUCAUGCAGAGCUUACUAAAAAGUUCACUGCGAUAUGGCCCUAUGGCAAUGUCCAGAAGUACCUGGCACCAGAGGAUGGCUCCUCAACCAGAACAGCAGAGAGGCCAUGGCACAGGCUGUUGGAGCUGCUCAAGAAUCACCCGGAGAGGUUUAUCAUGA